rnacentral:sRNA from 1 species
UGAAGAGUAAACAAAGGGGAACUCGCAUACUGGAUCGACACCCUCGACAUAUUUCCAACCUUUGUAAUUGAUCAUUCCUAAUAAUAUA